rnacentral:rRNA from 1 species
UACGAAGGGAGCUAGCGUUGUUCGGAAUCACUGGGCGUAAAGCGCACGUAGGCGGAUUUGUAAGUCAGGGGUGAAAUCCCGGGGCUCAACCUCGGAACUGCCUUUGAUACUGCAAAUCUCGAGUCCGAUAGAGGUGGGUGGAAUUCCUAGUGUAGAGGUGAAAUUCGUAGAUAUUAGGAAGAACACCGGUGGCGAAGGCGGCUCACUGGAUCGGUACUGACGCUGAGGUGCGAAAGCGUGGGGAGCAAACAGG